CGAACGGGUGAGUAACGCGUGAGGAACCUGCCUCAAAGAGGGGGACAACAGUUGGAAACGACUGCUAAUACCGCAUAAGCCCACGGGUCGGCAUCGACCUGAGGGAAAAGGAGCAAUCCGCUUUGAGAUGGCCUCGCGUCCGAUUAGCUAGUUGGUGAGGUAAUGGCCCACCAAGGCGACGAUCGGUAGCCGGACUGAGAGGUUGAACGGCCACAUUGGGACUGAGACACGGCCUAG
rnacentral:rRNA from 1 species